GCACCUCCAACAGCUCCUCCUAACCCACCUGCAGCACCAAAGCCCGUCGAGCCCGGCCCACCAUAUCCACCAUAAGGCCCACCCAUCCCAGCACCGUAUCCUCCAGCACCGGCCAUUGAACCGGGUACGGGAUUGGACGAAUUCAGAGGAUGAUUAUGGUUACCCAACGGAGGCUGUCCACCAAAACCACCAUACGAACCCAACGCAACCGGUCCUCCAUACUGCGGGCC
rnacentral:lncRNA from 1 species